rnacentral:lncRNA from 1 species
AAUUUUAUUUCCAGUGCAUUAAACAAAUUUUAAAUUAAAAGAAGAAAUAAAACUUUCCCCCCAUCCUUGUAAAGGAAACGACUGGUAAAAGUACAAUAUAAUAAAAUCAGGCAUUGCCAAAAACAGCAUGAUGUGCAACCUCAAUUACAUUAAAGAAAAACAAACAGACAAACAAGAAUUACAAAACAUAAGCAUGAAGGAGCCAAGACUAUGUAAUCCCAACUAUGGUAUGACUGGUAAGCACUGGUUAAAAUAGGUAAGGCUACUCUUAGAUUUCUAACUCGACAUAGUUAACCACUGCUCUUCGGUCUUUUCCUUCUUAAUCUUUCACUCACUAGUUCUUUAUAUCUUUAAAAUGAACAAAUUUGUUUUUAUAUUUUUGGUCUACAGUAGAAUUACAUAUUAAUAAUAUAAUAAACAGAUACUUCAUUAACAGAUUGGUACUGCAUUCAUGUGGGGAAAAUAGAAAAAAAGCACUCACAGAGACAUAGCAAAUGGACUCUAUUCUCAUAAAAAUAACCACAAAUAUGAUAGAAAUUAUCAUCAGGGCAACAGAUUCAACUGAAAACAGGGCAAAAAAGAGAUAUUUGGGGUAAUACAAACUCCUGACAAGUAUGCCCUAGAAUUGCA